rnacentral:misc_RNA from 1 species
CAAUAUUAUUCGCCAGAGUACUACUAGCAAUAGGUUAAAACUCAAAGGACUUGGCGGUGCUUUAUACCCCUCUAGAGGAAUUUGUCCUAUAAUCGAUAAACCCCGAUAGACCUCACCAGCUCUUGCCAAUUCAGCCUAUAUACCGCCAUCCUCAGCAAACCCUAAAAAGGAAUUGUAGUAAGCACAAACAUAAGACAUAAAAACGUUAGGUCAAGGUGUAGCCUAUGAGCAGGGAAGAGAUGGGCUACAUUUUCUAACACAAACCAUAUACGAAAGCUCCCAUGCAUCAGGGAGCGGAAGGCGGAUUUAGUAGUAAACCAAGAACAAAGAGCUUGAUUGAAUUAGGCCAUGAAGCACGCACACACCGCCCGUCACCCUCCUCAAAUAUAGAGGUAAGGAUAGACAAGCCUAUUAUCAUGCGUACCCAUAAUAUGAGAGGAGAUAAGUCGUAACAAGGUAAGCAGUACUGGAAAGUGCGCUUGGAUACAUUAAAGUGUAGCUUAAGCCAAAGCACCUGGCUUACACCCAGGAGACUCCACACACUAAUGAACACUUUGAACAAGUGCUAACCCAACCACAACCCAACUCAAUACAUACAAUUAACUAAACCAAAACAUUUACCUCCGUGAAAGUAUAGGUGACAGAAAGCUCACUUGGCGCUAUAGAGAAAGUACCGUAAGGGAAUGAUGAAAGAUAAACCAAAAGUACAAAACAGCAAAGCCCACCCCUUUUACCUUUUGCAUAAUGAUUUAACCAGAACAAAUUAACAAAGAGACCUUAAGUUAAUUAUCCCGAAACCAGACGAGCUACCUACAAACAGCUUCACAGAGCAAACCCGUCUAUGUGGCAAAAUAGUGGGAAGAUUUGUAGUUAGAGGUGAAAAGCCUACCGAGCCUGGUGAUAGCUGGUUGUCCAGAAUAGAAUAUUAGUUCAAAUUUAAAUCUUACCUGAAAAAACCAACAAUUCCAAUGUAAGUUUAAAAACUAGUCUAGAGGGGUACAGCCCGCUAGACACAGGGUACAACCUUUAUUAGAGAGUAAGCCACGACCAACACCAUAGUUGGCCUAAAAGCAGCCACCAAUUAAGAAAGCGUUAAAGCUCAACAAACCCACAACCUUAAUUCCCAAAAUAAUGAGCCAACUCCUAAUGUACACAACUGGACUAUUCUAUUAUUUAAUAGAAGCAACACUGUUAAUAUGAGUAACAAGAACUAGUUCUCCUAGCACAAGUUUAUAUCAGAACGGAUGCCCCACUGAUAGUUAACAACAAACAUACGCACAGCCCAAAGCCAAGACCGUAC